ACAGGAUACGAACCUGUACCCAAGAACUCAAAAUCCUCCGUACUACCAUUAUACUACCUUCUAGUAAAGUCAGC
rnacentral:tRNA from 1 species